AUUAUUACUGGUGGUUUUCCCAGGGUGAGGCUCAUCCCUUGCACUCCGGGUGUGCUGAUCCCUGUGGCUUCCCCAAAUAUGGGAAACUUGACUGCAUAAUUUGUGGUAGUGAAGGAUAAUGGAAUCCAG
ensembl:snRNA U1 U1 spliceosomal RNA